rnacentral:rRNA from 1 species
GACGAACGCUGGCGGCGUGCUUAACACAUGCAAGUCGAACGGACGAGUGAGAUAAGUUUACUUAACUCACAAGUUAGUGGCGGACGGGUGAGUAACACGUGGAUAAUCUACCUGCAACACCGGGAUAACGCUGUGAAAACGGUGCUAAUACCGGAUACGUUCCCUUGUGCGCAUGUAUGAGGGAAGAAAGCUCAGGCGGUUGCAGAUGAGUCCGCGGCUGAUUAGCUAGUUGGUGAGGUAAAGGCUCACCGAGGCGAUGAUCAGUAGCCGGCCUGAGAGGGUGAACGGCCACACUGGGACUGAGACACGGCCCAGACUCCUACGGGAGGCAGCAGUGGGGAAUCUUCCGCAAUGGGCGCAAGCCUGACGGAGCAACGCCGCGUGGGUGAAGAAGGCCUUCGGGUUGUAAAGCCCUGUCUUAUGGGAAGAAGUCAGUGACGGUACCAUAGGAGGAAGCCACGGCUAACUACGUG